AUACGUAGGGGGCGAGCGUUGUCCGGAUCUACUGGGUGUAAAGGGCGUGUAGGCGGGCCCGCAAGUCAGAUGUGAAAUCCCGAGGCUUAACUUCGGAACUGCAUCUGAAACUGCGGAUCUUGAGUACUGGAGAGGAAAGUGGAAUUCCUAGUGUAGCGGUGAAAUGCGUAGAGAUUAGGAGGAACACCAGUGGCGAAGGCGGCUUUCUGGACAGUAACUGACGCUGAGGCGCGAAAGCGUUGGGAGCAAACAGGAUUAGAUACCCUGGUAGUCCACGCUGUAAACGAUGAAUAAUAGGUGUAGGGGUCAUUAGACUUCUGUGCCGCAGCAAACGCAAUAAGUAUUCCGCCUGGGGAGUACGACCGCAAGGUUGAAACUCAAAGGAAUUGGCGGGG
rnacentral:rRNA from 1 species